rnacentral:rRNA from 1 species
UGGGGAAUAUUGCACAAUGGGGGAAACCCUGAUGCAGCGACGCCGCGUGAGCGAAGAAGGUUUUCGAAUCGUAAAGCUCUGUCCUAUGGGAAGAUAAUGACGGUACCAUAGGAGGAAGCCCCGGCUAACUACGUGCCAGCAGCCGCGGUAAUACGUAGGGGGCAAGCGUUGUCCGGAAUCACUGGGCGUAAAGGGUUCGCAGGCGGAAAUGCAAGUCAGUUGUGAAAGGCAGAGGCUCAACCUCUGUAAGCAAUUGAUACUGUAUUUCUUGAGAUGUGGAGAGGCAAGUGGAAUUCCUGGUGUAGCGGUGAAAUGCGUAGAUAUUAGGAAGAAUACCGGUGGCGAAGGCGACUUGCUGGACACAAACUGACGCUGAGGAACGAAAGCGUGGGUAGCAAACAGG